GGCAACCAAUCUGGUUGGUGGAUGGGAGCCCCAGACUCAAUCAACGUGGGGUCGCGGGCGCAGAGAGCAGGGUAGGUGGGAGAGGGGUUCACCCCACCUCGGGACUGCGAAUCUGGGUCUGGAAGUCCGAGAACAUCCAUCUGGAAAGGGAUCUUUGCCAUCUUCUCUAGCUUCUGUUUUACACAUGGGGAAACUGAGGCUUACGGAAGAGCCUGGUAGCUUCCCCACGGUGGAAGGUGGUGAGCCGUCGUAAACCAUGAGUGAGCUGAAAUCAAGAGGAAGCAGAGGGCUUCCCUGGUGGCGCAGUGGUUGAGGAUCUGCCUGCUAAUGCAGGGGACACGGGUUUGAGCCCUGGUCUGGGAGGAUCCCACAUGCUGCGGAACAACUAGGCCCGUGAGCCACAACUGCUGAGCCUGCGCGUCUGGAGCCCGUGCUCCACAACAAGAGAGGCCGCGAUAGUGAGAGGCCCACGCACCGCGAUGAUGAGUGGCCCCCGCUUGCCACAACUAGAGAAAGCUCUCGCACAGAAACGAAGACCCAACACAGCCAUAAAUAAAUUAAUUAAUUAAUAAACUCCUACCCCCAACAUCUUAAACAAAAAAAAAAAAAAAAAAGAGGAAGCAGAAACCAAGAGCUGAUAGAAGCUAUGCAGUGGCAGCUGUGAGGUCAGGUGGGGCAAGGAUGAAAUGUAUAAAAGUUGAAAUCAGAAGGAAACAGAAACCAUCAAUUAGCAAAAGCUUCAGAAAGGCAGCGAAAGUCAGUCAACCGCAAGAGGAGAACAAAGGCAGACGGCAGUGCAGCCACAUGAAUAGGGGUCAUCGGAAAGAGCCCCAAGUCCCUGCUGCCUGAGUGUCCCUUGAAGACUCAACAACCUUCCGGUUCCAGCUGUCUGGAUCCUUAAUACAACUCGUUCUUAAAGUCUGUGGCAUUUUGCCUCCCUUAUCGUUCCAUGUGAAUCCUUAUAAUAAACUCCCUAUUAUUUGAGCUGGUCUGAGUGUGUCUCUGUUCCUGGAACCAAGAGAACAGACCUGGAACCGGAGGUGGUACGAGGACUGGGGGCUCGGCUACACCAAGCAGCUUCACUAAAGAUGUGCACUAGAGCCCACCUGCAGGUUUGCAUCAGCGCCUGGAUACUCUGGAAGAAGCCAACUUCCUUCUUGUCCUUCAGAGCGCCAUCAGGCAUUCCUCGAUGACGUCGCGCUGCGCCUUGGUGAGCGAUCGGCCGCGGGACAGGCGGUACACCGUGUGAAGCAUGGAGUCCACCAUGAUGGCGCGAUGCUCGGUUCCCGCAAAGAGGGGCGCACACUUGGUGAUGAGCGGCAGCACCGCCAGGCACAGCACCUAAAAAGGACUUAGCAGGCUUCCCUGGUGGCGCAGUGGUUAAGAAUCCACCUGCCAGUGCAGGGAACAUGGGUUGGAGCCCUGGUCCGGGAAGAUCCCACAUGCCGCAGAGCAACUAAGUGAGUGCACCACAACUACCCAGACUGUGCUCUAGAGCCCACGAGCCACAACUACUGAGCCCGUGUGCCGCAACUACUGAAGCCCGUGCGCCUGGAACCCGUGCUCCGCAACAAGAGAAGCCACCGCAAUGAGAAGCCUGCGCAGCGCAACGAAGAGUCGCCCCCACUCGCUGCAACUACAGAAAGCCCACGUGC